GUCAGGUUAGAAGGAAACCUUCCGCUUUAUGGUUUCCAUGACCCUGCAUCCUUCGUCAACUCCAUUCAGAAGCCACGUGUCGUCAUCAUGCUUGUCAAGGCCGGUGCUCCGGUUGACCAGACCAUCACAACACACCUGGAGCAGGGUGACUGCAUCAUUGAUGGAGGAACUGAGUGGUAUGAGAACACAGAAAGGAGUGAGAAGGUGAUGGAUGAGCGUGGACUCCUCUACCUCGGGAUGGCUGUUUUCGGAGGAGAGGAGGGUGCCCACCAUGGCCCCUCCAUGAUGCCUGGAGGCUCACUGGAGGCGUACCAGUACAUUAAAGUCAUUCUUCUCAAGGUGUCUGCUCAGGUCCCUGACAACGGCUGGCGUGUCACAUACAUUUGGAAGGGUGACUCAAAUUUUGUUAAGAUGGUUCACAGUGGUAUUGAGUAAGAUGACAUGCAAAUGGUCGAUGAGGCAUAUGGCAUUCUCAAGUCAGUUGGUAAGCUCACAAACGGUGAGAUGCAGCAGGUUUUCGCCGAGUGGAACAAGGGUGAGUUCCUCAGUUUCUUGGUCGAGAUCAUUGCUGAUAUCUUCAGCAUCAAGGAUGAACAGGGUGAGGGCUACUUGGUCGACAAGGUCCUGGACAAGACCAGGAUGAAGGGAACCGGGAGUGGAUAGUUUAGCAGGCUGAUAAGCGCGGCUGCUACUAGUCCUACCACCGAGGCGUCCUUGGACUCCAGGACCUCAAGGUUCCUCAGCGGGCUGAGGGAUGAGAUGGUGGCUACUUCUAAGAUCUUCUAGGGUGACUACAAUAGCGAAGAAACUGUUGACAAGGCAUUGUGCAAGGAUGUGAGGAAAGCCCUCUACGCCUCCAAGAUCUGCAGCUACGCCCAGGCCCUAAACAUCAUCAAGGACAAGAGCACAGAGAAAGGAUUGAGCUUAAACCUUGGCGAGCUGGCCAGGAUCUGGAAGGGCGGGUGCAGCAUCCGCGCCAGCACUAGUAGAAAACAGGGCACCAGUCCCGGUUCUGAAGUGCCUUUAGUCCCGGUUCUACAACUGAGACUAAGCAAUCGGGACUAA
rnacentral:rRNA from 1 species